GAGUCGCUAGCUCAGCGGUAGAGCAGUUGCCUCUUAAGCAAUUGGCCCCGGGUUCGAAUCCCGGGCGACUCA
rnacentral:tRNA from 1 species